rnacentral:rRNA from 1 species
GGGAGUGUGUGUGGUGUGUGGUGGUGGGACCUGAGGGUUUUGUAGGUAAGCGUGUUAACAGGUGUGACGCAGGAAGGUAGCCGGGCCGUGCGAUGGUUGUCGCGGUCUAAGGUUGUAGGCCGUGUGGUUGGCAAAUCCGCCACACACUAGGGCUGAGAGCUGAUGGGCGCCCCACACGUGGUGGGGUGAUCCGGUGAUCCUCUGCUGCCAAGAAAAGCAUCGACGUGAGGUUCAAACUGCCCGUACCCUAAACCGACUCAGGUGGUCAGGUAGAGAAUACCAAGGCGAUCGAGAUAAUCGUGGUUAAGGAACUCGGCAAAAUGCCCCCGUAACUUUGGAAGAAGGGGGACCACCCCGGUGAACAACCCUUGCGGUUGGAUGUGCUGGUGGUGGUCGCAGAGGCCAGAGAGAAGCGACUGUUUACUAAAAACACAGGUCCGUGCGAAGACGUAAGUCGAUGUAUACGGACUGACGCCUGCCCGGUGCUGGAAGGUUAAGAGGAUCUGUUAGAACC